rnacentral:rRNA from 1 species
CCUACGGGAGGCAGCAGUGGGGAAUAUUGCACAAUGGGGGAAACCCUGAUGCAGCGACGCCGCGUGAGUGAAGAAGUAUCUCGGUAUGUAAAGCUUCAUCAGCAGGGAAGAAAAUGACGGUACCUGUUUAAGAAGCCCUGGCUAACUACGUGCCAGCAGCCGCGGUAACACGUAGGGGGCAAGCGUUAUCCGGAUUUACUGGGUGUAAAGGGGGCGUAGACGGCAGCACAAGUCUGGAGUGAAAUGCCGGGGCUUAACCCCGGAACUGCUUUGGAAACUGUGCAGCUAGAGUGCAGGAGAGGUAAGUGGAAUUCGUGGUGUAGCGGUGAAAUGCGUAGAUAUUAGGAGGAACACCGGUGGCGAAGGCGGCUUACUGGACUGUAACUGACGUUGAGGCUCGAAAGCGUGGGGAGCAAACAGGAUUAGAUACCCCGGUAGUC